UUUUUGCCUUCUUCCUCCGCUGCCGCCUCUUCCGUUCCUCUUCGAUGGCAUUCGUAGCCGUCGACGGAACGGAGAAGCGGUGCGUCCUCCUCGACUUGCUGUUGUACUUACAGUAGAUGUCUGAUCUUCCUUGUUGACAUCGAACGGUUCUUUUGCGCAUCCAAUGAUGCCAUUCUAUAUGCCUUCAUUUGUCACAUCGUUGUUGAUCCAAGGCUUGUGUUUUAGAUCCGUUAAUUGUGUUUCUCUCCCCUUUUUCAUUUUGAACUAUAAUCUCUAGUGGCCUCAUUUCCCCCUUCUUCGCCUUUGUUCUGUUGCUUCAAUUCAUUUGGAGCACCUAAUGAUGGCCUCAGUAGUGGCAGUUGUUUUCGACCAAUGUUAUACUUCACCUGAUCGGUUGUCAUGUGUUUCUCUCUUUAACCUUUGAUUGUGUUGUUGAUUCUAAUAGGUUGCUUGCUUAAUGAGUCCUUUAAUUUUGCGGCUGCAAAUGAAGUAGUUCAUUUCGAGUAAGUUCUUAUCGUUGGUUAGAUAAUUUGCUCCUGAAUUUUUAAGAGAGCAAGUUGUACACCAUUGAUGUACUUUAAGAAAGGAUAUGAUGGCUUAAUUGUAAAAGGUCUGAGCAAGAGGACAUAUAUGAUUGCAAUGAGAUGGUUUUGGGCCAAAGGAAGAGGACCCUUGCCCUUGCUCAAGUUGUAGCACUGUGGUUGUCGCAAGCUCUUCUACAUUAAGUGGAUCAUGCUUGUGCAUGACAAUGGGUUGGAGAAAAGAAAAAGGCGUGGGCUGCAUUUUAAUUAUGAAUGUUGGCCUAGACUUCUCCCUAUAUACCGAGUAGGAUGCUAGAAACCAUCUGACUGCGGUCAUGUUCUCUUCAUUGAUCAAAUUUCUAAGCUGAUCCUUGGACACUUACAUCAACUUUGCUGUUUUAGUUUUCUUUCUUGAAAGGUUGUCUGUAACUUGAGAUUUCAUGUGUUGUUGGCACUGAUUUUGAUGGUGGCGUCUACCAUUAUGUUAUUUUCUAGAUAAGGAAGCUGCCACAAAAAUGAUUGUUUUUCCCCAUGUUCUAGUGUUCUACACAAUUUUUUGGAUAAAUGAUUGCUUAUUGGUUAUGAACUUUAGGAUCAGUCAACUUUAUAUUUUUCAUACAAGUGAUAUAUUCUUUUCUUUGUGACAGUGAAAUUUUGCAUUUUUCUGGUUGUUUAUUAAUGGUUAAUUACAUAUUCUAUUAAUGUAAUGCGUAAAAAUUGGUUUCCUGCAUGAUCCAAAGAAAGCAUGUAUCUGUACUCCUCCUAUAUGGUAAUUCCAAUCAUGCAAAACUAGUUUUGCUUACUGUUUCAGUUUGAAAAGAUGAUAGUUUUUGAACUGGGUAUUUUUAGAAAAGUGGAUUGUUUUGCUUUUGGAUGUGCUUGGUUCGGUUUUGGUUAUCAACCAUUAACAAAUUGGCACAAUGCAGACUGAACCAAAUGCAUAUGCAUGUUUUGGUUAAUUCAAUUCAGAAGCUUCACGUUUGGCCAUUGGAAUUCUUUCGAUCAGGGCUUGGCUCCAUUUUCCCCUCUCAUGUUGCUGCUACCCUUGCAGUCCUUCCUGGUAGCUGUGGAGGGGUCUGACAAUAUGAUUUGGUGGUUUUAAGUUGGUGCUGAUCGACCGAGCAGCAGGGGUUGCUUGGUAGAUCAAAUUGGAGCACUAUAGGGUGAGGCUUGAACCAGGAUUUGAGAUGCUACAAUGGUGGCUUUGGUCUCUUUGCUCUUGUUAAGGUGGCAGUGAAGCCCGGGUACUGUUGAUGAUGUGGGGGCAUUCCAGUGAAGAACAGCCAAGAUGAAAGAGCUGAAACAAUGACAGAGGCCAACUAUGUGUGAGAAAAGGCAAGUUUUCCAUUCCACCCUUGAAGUUUAUACAAGAUGAGAAGCUUGCUCUUUUGGAUCAGCUUGUUGUCUUGGAAGGUCUUCUUGAUGAAGUGAACCUCCCACUAGGACAAAUUUGUCGCAUGACUUGGUAUUCUCUUGAGAUAUAUCAUCUGGAACUUGCAAUUUUGGACAAUUGAUAGAGCUGAGACUGACGUCUGGAAUGUGUGUACUCCAUCAUUAAUUAUCGAUUGCCAGAGUGGAAUAUGGUGAUGGUGCUUGGAAGUUUAUAUACAAUAUGAAGUGUCUCUCAUCAGAUUCAUUGUUGUCCUCCAUGUAUAGGAAAGAAUUAUUGGAGCACUUGACCUUCCUGUUUCUUCGACUCGAGAAUUAUUUUCCCCAACAAAUUGAUUUGCAACUCAAAUGUGGGGACUAAGGCCUUCUCCUGGUCUGCUGUUUGCGACCGCCGAAUUUUCUAUGCAUAACAAGGGCUGUGAAACUUCCUUUGUCCUUAGAGAAUCAAGGAAUGCUACAGGCCGUGGAUGUGUGAAUUUUGUGGCCAUGGCCAUGGCUUGAUUAUUCCAUAAAUGACCUCUAUUUGGGUGAGACUGACUUGUCUUAGACUCGGUAAUGACAAGAAUCCUUUAUUUCUUCGUCUACAAGCAAACGAUUCUAUUAUCUUUGGUCACCGAUGUACAUGACAUUGUAUGGUUGGUUUCAUUAUUAUGCUUCAAAAUUGUUGAAAUUGAUUUA